AGGGCACAGGCGAAGAGAGACAGAGCCGGAGCGGGCCGGGGGCUGCGGCAGCGGCGGGCGGAGACGGGAGCGCGGCCGGUGGAAAAAGAGCCCAGGGUUCAACGAUCAGCCAGAGGCCUCAUUCACAGAGUUAACAACAGCCUGACAGAUCGCCCUGAUUCCCUGGGCAUCGAUAAGCUGCUCAGAAUGCUCGCCAGAGGAAACGAAUUACACUGCGUAGUUAGCAGCCUGUCUCCCAGCAAUUUCAGGCCUUCAAGAAUCCUGUGCAAUGGAUCAUCACUAAUACCUGAAGGGUCAGCUGGAGACCAAAGGUUAUGCCUCUGUGGAAUUUAUCAUUUUUCAUUGCAAAUAUCUCAGAAUUGGAGAAGUGGCAUGGAGUUCCCCUGUGUGGAUAAACAGGAGGCACUGGUUCCCAGAAGAGUGGACUGGUCAGCAGCAAUAAAUCGACUUUAAAACACAACAUCCAAACACUAAAGCAGGAUGAAGUGGUCUGUGUACCAUGCAAGGAGGUCAAAAGUAUGCAUAUCAUGUGCUGUGACUGAUGUUUACUGAAUGGGGAAAUUCUUAUUAACUUUUUUUGGAAUGAAUACUCUCUCUGUUGUCAUUGGUUGCAUUUGCAAGAAGUUUUUGUUCCCAGAUGUUUAUUCUCAGCCCUGUACUUCUUGAAUAAGUAGUCUUCCGCAAAUGUGAUCCUAGCUUUAUGCAAUGAUUAAGUGUUUUUUCAGGCUGCUUGUUUUGCUAGUUGUUCUUGACAGUCACGUUUCAGCUUUCUGAGCAUGCACAUGUUUGUCUCAUGAUUUCUAGUAACAGCAUACCCUGAUAGCUUUCAGGUUUGCUGAGCUUCCCCAGGCUGCUAGGGCAUUUUGUCAAGAGUGAAGACUCACAGUCUUCAAAAGAAAGACUUCCAGCUAACUCCUGGAGAAGUACUUUCUACUUGUCAAUGUCUUUCAUCACCCUCCCAGCUCUGAGAGGUGGUGAUGAUCUGCCCCUUGUUAUCCAAGAGCAGCAAGAAGGGAAGUGGUCUCUUGAGAUUGCAGUCCAGUGCCAUUGGAGAUGCCUCCAAAUGUGUGCCUGCAUUUUCUCUCACUGACAAUGUUGUCUCACACAUUUUGGGGUUGAGAGAACCACAAGUCAAGGCUGAGGCCUUUCCUAGUAGCAUGAAAGGAGCAGGAUUCUUACACAAAACUCUAGUGAACUCCUUUGCUACUUUAAAAGCAAGUAACAACACAUUUGAAAAGCAAAAUUGAUCCAUUUAAUGUAAGUCCUGCAAAUCUUGUUUACUUUGCUUGCAUGCUUUGAGUUUUUGUUAGCAGGAAGAAGAUGAGCAGCAUGUAGAACUAUUCACUUCCCUCUGCAUUUGAAUUUUCUGUAACAUAUACACUUUUCCCUUAGAAAUUGAAGGCUUAAAAAAAUUAUUAUUUUUUCUUCCAUAUAAAAAACCAGAAAAACCACAGAUGAUAGGUUGGCAAUAGUGACCAGCAUGAAAUGGUUACCUCUUUAACACAGUUCAGAGAUAACAGAAGGAUCUGUCACAUCUGUGUCACCUACAUACAGGAAGGACAGGGUGUUGUCAUGUCCAUUUGGUUGUCAGAGUACUGCAGGAAUGAUGCUGCUGGUACUUAGGGUCUUCAAACAAGUUGUUUGUCAACAUGCUUUUGAGUCCCUAAUUGUACUCAACCAAAUUUGAUCUUCACCUCAAGAAAUUGUGUCCGUGUACCUUCUACUCUUUCUGUCCAAGUCCUGGGCCUUAAUGCUUAGAUUUGUAGUUUGCAAUUUGUUUUCUCAGCCUCAGUCUUUUUGUAAUCCUCAAAAACAAGGAUCACAACAAGAAAGGAAACCCCUUUUUAAUUUUAUUGCCAUUAAGAUCCCUGAUCUUGUUUAGGACUCCUUGGCUCAAAAAUGUGGAAAUAUGUCCUGGCUCAGAUACAUUGUUGGAGGUGAAACAGUACCUAUGGAUAUCAUCUGCUCAGGAUACUGUGUCAGUGCUAUCCCCUGGCUUUGCUAUUUCCAGCCAGAUUUGCAGAAGCAACAGGAAAGUUAGCAAAGCAAGGCAAACAGUGCUGGGUUAUUUUUGCUACAUUCAGUUUCCUUGCAGCUGGUCAAAUUACUCAGUGCCUUCCAAAUCUGACCAGAUAGAAAUGCAAGUGAAAACUUGAAGUGAGCACCAGACAAGCUUGGGACAGUGUCUUGUGUUUGAUGCCCUCUGUCCUGCCAUGUUUCAUAAGCAAGAGUGAGCAGCCUUUUGUGCACACUCACACCAGAAGAUGUAAAUGCAAAGCCAGAAGUUCUCACCUAUUUUUAACAUCUCCCAAACCCCAGGGCAAGACCCAAGGAGGAUAUUGUACAGGACAAUGGGGUAAUGCCAGCCAGGAAGCCCCCUGCUGUAGCCAGGGCCCCACUGGGUGGCUGCAGAGCAGGAAGACCAAAGGGCACAUAGCUGCUGAGCUGAGCUGAGCUGAACUUUCAGCGCUGACCAGUCCUCAGGGGUCCUGGUCCUCUCCCUGCCAUAGUGUUCUGCCAUGUCUCUGUUGUUUACCUCCCUGCAGAGAGCUCCCAGGCCAAGGGACAGCCCCUGCAAGCUCAGCUGCUGCAAGGAGCAGGAGAUGGUCCGAUUUAAGGAGCUAUUACUGGUACCAGUGGCUGCUUCCUGCAUACUUAACUCUGCAUCUGCUCAUGAAAAAUACCAUCUAAACUGGACUUGGGUCAUUAGCUUUGCCUGGUGCUCUUACACUGGGAUUUGCUUCUUUUUAUUAGAUACAGCUUUCCAAAGGGACAGAUACUUGCUGUUCCAUCUUGAAAUUAAAACAAACAAACAAAGCCACCAUCAACUUUCUUGUAAUGUAUAAUAUUCCUGCAUGAUUUAGAAUUUGUUUCCUCUCUUUUCUCCUGAUGGGAAAUGAGGGGCAGGGACCCAGCACAUCAUCUGGGAAACUGCUGUAGUCCCAUGGCUGAACUGGAUCGUCAGCUCAGUUGCUACAGGAGCUGGAAGGAGAGAUGGCUGCACCCAUGUCAUCCAUCAUGGGAAAAAAUGCCCAAAGCAGUGUGUAUUUAAGGUUACCAUCUCCCAGGUGGCCCUUUACUUAGAACAUCCCAAUAUGUUGUUAGUUAUGGAGCAGGGCUUUGGGCUUAGGUUUGUUGUGAUAUACCAAAGGCAUCUUACCAUUUUCUGUGAUAGCAGCGGAGUUAAAUAAAUGAUUAUAAUAAUAACUACAGAGUGUGUUCCUGAGGUUUUACUACAUGUAAACACAAUCAUAAGUGUAAUCAAUGUCAAUGACUUCCAUUUAAUUCUCAGACAAAGUUUGCUUUUAAAUAUCACACCAGAUUUGACACGGUUAAUGAUAAAUGGAAUGCAAUUAGUUCUACUAUUUGCUUUGAUGAUAUGCUAAAUUAUGUCUUACAACAGACCAUUUAUUAUCCAAACCUAAUGGUUAUACUCUUGCAUUUAACAAAUCUAAUGUAUAUUAAACUGUAGCAAACGGAUAAGUUUCAAAAUUAGAUACUAAAGGCUAGAAAAAAGUUAUUCUAUGAAUGAGUUUCAUUUAAUAAAUCCUUGCCAUUGCUCAAGUUACAAAACCUUAAAUUGGAAGAGUUCUAUAUAUAUUUCUCAAAAUUGCACAAAUAAAAAAAUAAUUAUGCUGCCUCUUAGUGAUUUGCAGUCACUUAAUGGAUAUUUAAUCUUAAGGAAAAUAUUAAAAUUUAAAUGUUCUUAUGGCAUUUUUAACAUAAUGCAUCUUCUAAUUGUUAACAAGAAAAUUAUUACUUUUUUUUCCCUCCAGAAAUUUAUCAUGAGCUUACCAUGAUAAUUGAAAAAUUAACAAAGAGAGUGUAGUACUUCAGAAGACAAAAGUAAUUUCCUAAUUUUUCACUACGCGUUGGUUUUGCAUGGCCUGGUUUUUGGUAGCAGGGGGACCACAGAGAUGGCUUUUUUGAGAAGAUGCUGGAAGCUUCCACCAUGUCCAGCAGAGCCAAUCCCUGAUGGCUCUGAAGAUGGUCAUGUGCUGGCUGAGGCUGGGCCAAGUAGAGAUGAUGGUAACUCCUCUGUGAUAAUAGAUUUAAGAAGAAAUCCAAACAAAGGUGUGAGGUGCACUUCUAAUUCCAGCCAGAGAAGGGGAGGAGGUGAGAACAUGUGAGAGAAACAACAUGGAGACCCUGAGGUCAGUGGAGAAAGAGUGGGAGGAGGUGCUUCAGGUGCCAGAGCUGAGAUUCCUCUGCAGUCCAUGGUGAUAACCAUGGUGAAGCAGCUGUGCCCCUGCAGCUCGUGGGUAUCCACAAGGGAUGCAGAGAUCCACCCGCAGCUCCUGGGGGAGGUGCCAGAGCAGGUGGAUGCCUGAUGCACUUCUGCCUGUGAUCCAAUGGGACACCCAGAGACAGAGGGCACUUGCUUCCAUGUUGGAGCAGCCUGUCAUUGGAGGACUGCACCCCAAAGAAGAGUGACCAACACCAUAGAAAUUUUGGGAGGACUAUGUGUGGGAAAUUGGGACUCAUGUUGCAGCAGUUUUGGAAGGACUGCGGUUCAUGAGAGUGGAUCCACGUUGGAGAGGUUCACAGAGAACUGUCUCCUGUGGAAAGAGCCCCCAUGGUCUCACAGGGGAACAACUUGUCUCCCUGAGGAGUGGAAGAAAACCUCAGGUGAUGAACUGAUUAAAACCCCCACGCCCUGUCUCCCUGCACCAUCGAUGGGAAGGAGGGAGGUGUUGGGGGAAGAAAAGGUGUUUUUAAGGGCAUGUUUUACUUGUCAUUAUCCUCCUCUGAUUUUGUUAGUAAUAAACUCAGGCUGUAUCUCUAUGGUGA